GGUCGCUGAACCCUCUGAUCUCCAUCACCAUGUCCACACAGUCAGGAGGGAUCUGAUUGGCUGCUGCAGGUCGUGUGGUUAUCCAGAGGCGAGCAGAAGGAAGCAGAUUCCCCCUGAUCAGCACAUUCAGCUCUCUGAAAGUCAAUGGAAACAUGAAGUGGAUGUCCUGGUUGCUUUUGUCUUCAGCCCAGUCCAGAGUCAACUUCUGUGUUAACACUGUUUUCCCGAUGCCAGCCACUCCCUGUGUCAUCACUGUUCUGAUUGGUCCAUCUCGUCCAGAUCGUCUGAAAUGAAGGGGAUGCUCCUUUGACCAGUCACUCUUCAUGGACACACAGCUGGAUCCAGGUAGGUCCAGGUCCAGGUCCAAGCCCAGAUCCAGGUCCAAGCCCAGGUCCAAGUCCAACAGAGUGUGUGUUUUGCUGCUCAGGGAUUCAACACACAGAGCUGUGAAUGUGAAUAAUGACAGCAGUGAUGUGAUGCGGAGCUCUGACAGUUAGAGAUGCUCAUCUCACCUCUGAGCUUUGCUCUGGUUCUCCUGUUCCCCACACAGAGAUCUUCCCUCCUCU
ensembl:lncRNA